AUUGAACGCUGGCGGCAUGCUUUACACAUGCAAGUCGAACGGCAGCACAGGGAGCUUGCUCCUGGGUGGCGAGUGGCGAACGGGUGAGUAAUGUAUCGGAACGUGCCUGGUAGUGGGGGAUAACUACUCGAAAGAGUGGCUAAUACCGCAUGAGAUCUUUGGAUGACAGCGGGGGACCUUCGGGCCUCGUGCUACUGGAGCGGCCGAUAUCAGAUUAGCUUGUUGGUGGGGUAAAGGCCUACCAAGCCUGCGAUCUGUAGCUGGUCUGAGAGGACGACCAGCCACACUGGGACUGAGACACGGCCCAGACUCCUACGGGAGGCAGCAGUGGGGAAUUUUGGACAAUGGGCGCAAGCCUGAUCCAGCAAUGCCGCGUGCAGGACGAAGGCCUUCGGGUUGUAAACUGCUUUUGUACAGAACGAAAAGUCUCUGGCUAAUAUCUAGAGAUCAUGACGGUACUGUAAGAAUAAGCACCGGCUAACUACGUG
rnacentral:rRNA from 1 species